UAUGUUGUUGAAAUACAUUUAUUAUUACAGUGGAAGAUAUUUGUGUCCUCUCAUUGCGAUUUUGAUAUUUUUUCAAAAAAUUAUAUGAAUAUUUGUGACAUGUUGGCAGUAUCUUUUGUUAUGAAGGUAUUUACUUUUGGUAGGUAAGUUUGAAAAAAUGGGUUUCUUCAGUUCUUUGUUGUAUGUCUCUCGAGUUCACACUUUGAAGCGUCAUGAUAUGGAGGG
rnacentral:lncRNA from 1 species